UACGGGGGGGGCAAGCGUUGUUCGGAAUUACUGGGCGUAAAGGGCUCGUAGGCGGCCAACUAAGUCAGACGUGAAAUCCCUCGGCUUAACCGGGGAACUGCGUCUGAUACUGGAUGGCUUGAGAUUGGGAGAGGGAUGCGGAAUUCCAGGUGUAGCGGUGAAAUGCGUAGAUAUCUGGAGGAACACCGGUGGCGAAGGCGGUUCUCUGGGCCUGUACUGACGCUGAGGAGCGAAAGCGUGGGGAGCGAACAGG
rnacentral:rRNA from 1 species